CAGUCGCCGCGGGAAUACGAAGGGUGUAAGCGCUAAUUGGAAUUACUGGGCGUAAAGCGUGCGUAGGCGGUGAGUUAAGUCUGCUGUGAAAUCCCCGGGCUCAACCUGGGAAUGGCAGUGGAUACUGGCUCGCUAGAGUGUGUCAGAGGAUGGUGGAAUUCCCGGUGUAGCGGUGAAAUGCGUAGAGAUCGGGAGGAGCAUCAGUGGCGAAGGCGGCCAUCUGGGACAACACUGACGCUGAGGCACGAAAGCGUGGGGAGCAAACAGGAUUAGAUACCCGCGUAGUCCCUGUCUCUUAUAC
rnacentral:rRNA from 1 species